rnacentral:rRNA from 1 species
UACGAAGGGGGCUAGCGUUGUUCGGAAUCACUGGGCGUAAAGGGUGCGCAGGCGGGUUCAUAAGUCAGGGGUGAAAUCCCGAGGCUCAACCUCGGAACUGCCUUUGAUACUGUGGAUCUUGAGUGCGGAAGAGGUGAGUGGAACUGCGGGUGUAGAGGUGAAAUUCGUAGAGAUUCGCAAGAACACCGGUGGCGAAGGCGGCUCACUGGUCCGGAACUGACGCUGAGGCACGACAGCGUGGGGAGCAAACAGG